AAAAAAAGAAACAGUCCAUUGGACUCUUCUGAUGUGAAGGACAUCUGUAUUCUGAGAAACAGAAUAGAGCCUCCUACUCCACCCACCCCUAUUGUGCUGGCCCUGUGCAACAGACUGAAGGUAACUACAGAGGUACCCAACAAAGCUGGAACAUGGCUGUGGCUGCCCAUGAGCAGACAAGGAAACUGAGGCACAGGGAGCCUGAUGGCCCAAGGCAGAACACCGCAGGAGCCAGGUACCAGCUUCAGAUUUAUCCUAUCAGCUUGAGACAGAGAUAUGGCAUGGCUCCCCCAGACUCCCAGAGCCUUCCUGAUGCCAUCUCUUGCCCUAGCUGUGUCUGCAGACCCAUCCUAGUACCUGCUAAUGGACCAGCAACUGAUCAGUGGACACCUUGACAUGGGAGCAACACGUCAUCGCCUGGGAGAGUUAUUGUGGGUUCAGAUCUUCCUUACCCAACACCGACCCUAAGGCAGAUCAGUCAUGGGAAGGAGGGAGGAUGCAGGGGACAAUCAGAGGCUCCAGUUUUCUUAGGCCCAAUCAACCAAGGCGCAGAUGCCAUCUUGUGGGCCUGGUCCCCUGACCAGACUCUCCACAUUGCUACAUCUGCAAUGGCCCUGAGUGUUGAAUGCCGUGAGCUUUGCUGGCAGACAGUUCUGGAAUGAAGUGGGCUGUGCUGACCCCCCACCCCCAUUCCUCUAAACUCUCGUCUGCAGUCCAACUAGCACCCAGAGAUGGAAAUGUGGUCGUGAACUUGGCCCAGAGAAUCUGGCUUUUGGUCUUGGCCCCUCCUUUGCUCGGAGAAUUCAAUCCUUUGCAAGAAAUCCUUCCACAGACUUCCUGAGCACAUUCCAUGCUGAGGCCUUGUGCUGGAGUGGUGGGCAAGGAGGUAUUCCGUGUUCCUGGGCAUGACUUCACAUUGUGGGAAGAUCUCAGUGCCUACAACUACUGCCCAGGCCCCUCCUCCUACUCCUGCAUCUGCAUGCAGCCCCUGGCCUUCCUUACAGACAGCACUGAAGGGGUUAAACUUGGACAGGCAGGAGCCUCAAGGACCCUCUGUAUAGUGGAGUCAACUGCCAUUCUGCCAGGCAUGUUCCUGCCUACAGGGCCACACAUGUACAAGAGGUACCAGAGAGCAGAUCCCAGGAUUCCAGUGAGCAGAGCACCGUCUACACACAUUCCUGGAUUCCUGGGAGGCCCAAGGCCUGUUAGUACCCACAGCCUGAGAAGAGCAGGACACUUCCUGGAGGACAGCAAGCACCCCAGAGCUGCAUAUCACUCCCACAGAGGCCACAGUGACCCUGAGCAGCUCACUCACCUUGCUGGUCCUUAGGGGGUCUCUGCUCUGGAAUGAGGGGACACACACCUUCCCCAGAGUCACCAAGAGGACCAAGUGAGGUGAGUCUCUAGUCAGUGACUCUCCAGGGUGCACCCCUGCCUUCUGUGGCGGAUUGCCUCCAUUGUUAUUGUCAUAGAAGGGCUCAGCCCACUGUGGGUGGCACCAUUCCGUGUGCAGAUGGUCCUGGGCUAUGUAGAAAGCUAACCAAGCAUGGGUCUAUGGGCAAACCAGAAGGCAGGCCCAACAGGCAGCAGUCUCCCAUGACUUCUUUUGCUUCAAGUUCCUGUCCUGACUCCCCUCGGUGUUAGAUUGCAACCUGUACACUGAAAUAGCCCCCCUCUCCCCUAAGUUGCUUUGGUCAUGGUGUGUACCAUGGUAACAGAAUGAAACUGGCACGUUCUUCCCAGGGAGGUGACAGAACAGAGGUUGGAAUACAUGGAGGGUUAGUGGGACCCUGUAGGUAUCCAGGCAGAAGGGCAGCACCUGGAAAGGCCCUGAGGUGGGACUGUACUCUCCAGCCGCAUCUCCUGGGUAGGCUGCUGAUGGAACAGGGCACACACCCCUAGUGGCAUCACCCUCUGGAGUCUGGGCAUCUAGACUAGGCACACUCCAUGUUUUAACCUCAGCUGGUCUGCUAGGAAUAGGAAGUCACAUGUCCUCCUAGGAGAGGUCAGCUAGGAUGACACUAUGCAGCAGGGCUGUGGGCAGCUAGGGCGGACAAGGCAGGUGUCCUGAGGCCAGCAGCAGGACUCUCCUCAGGCAGGGCACUGAAUGCACAACAGGGGGAGCUUUGCCUGUCCCCUAGAGCCCAAGGGAAAAGGCUGAGCUUCAGCAACUGUAAGAACAACCAAGCCGCUGUGGGAACCCACUUCCCAGGCUAGCAACAGACCGUCCUCCAGCACAGAACCUACGAUCACUUCGGAAAUAAACAGCACUCAGAGAUCAGAGGCCGCACAGUUACAGUUCAUUACGAUAAAUCCACCAUCAAGGGUGGACGGAGAUAAGCAGGAUUAUGCUGGUCACGGCAAUUAAAAUUUUAAAAAGGA